rnacentral:lncRNA from 13 species
UGUGCGUUCGCGGUUUUGCAGGCAGCCCUUGGCGCUUCGGGACACCAGCGCAGGCAGAGCUUUCAUCCCUCCUCGCAGCUCUGCCCCCACGCCACCCCGCGUACUUCAGGAGGGUUGACAGAGGGGGCGCUUUACCCGGGAAACACCGGGCCGGGUCCGCAGGUGUGCCCUCUCUCCAAUCCGCGACACGCCUUUUCUGCCUCUGCUCCGCCCACCGAUCACUGGCACACCGGUCGGUCAGGUGAGAGACUGCACAAAGGGCAGGGCUGUGCUGUCAUUCUUUCCCCAGCAUCUUGGGAACCCCAGAACCCGCCCAGGGCCCGGGACCUGUGCGGUCUCGUGCGCGUGUGUGGGUCUGCAGGCAGCCCGCGGGUCUUCUGGGGACCAGCGCAGGCAGAGCUGUCAUCCCUCCUCGCAGCCCUGCCCCCACGCCAACCCGCAGGCUUCAGGAGGGUGAGAAGAGGGGGCGUUUUGCCCCAGAAACACCGGGCCGGGUCCCCAGGCAGGCCCGCUCUCCAUUCCGCUGCACCCCUGUUCUGCCUCUCCACUUCGCCCACCGAUCACUCGCACACCGAUCACUCGCACACCGCUGCCCCGCCAGCUUCCCCGCCAUCACCGAAAGCCUUGCGACACACUGUUGAGUCCACAGUCAAUGUGAUGAGAGGAUGUGACUUGUCUCUGGACCCUAGUUGAGGUAUCAUCAUUACAUACUUUUGGUCUCUUCUGCUAGAUGGCCUGUGUCUCCUCUUCUUCCUGGGAAGUGUCCACCGACACUGAAAUGGAACAUUUCACCUGACUCAGCACCUACACGACGUGUCUCUCGUAUUACGCCUUGGCUUUUCCCACUGGGCUGAUUUGGGACAUACAGCUGAGCACAGCCUCUAGGCUAUUUAACUCUUCUCUUCUCACGUGGUCCUACCCACAGGAGGUAUUGGGAUAUAUUUCUAAGCACUUCUCCGAGGUAAUGACUCUUUUUGGGGCUUUCCCCGGAUACGGUACGGUGACCUAUUUCUGGACCAGCACCGAGGCGAUGUCCCUCAUUUCUCCUACCUGUUGCCGGUUAGGGCAAAGGAAUUCCUAGGGGUGUGAGUCUACAGAAACCGCGAUUCUUGCCUCCUCAGGAGAAAGGACUCCACCGAGGGCCGUAAAGCAGGAGAGUUUCCGAGCAGCAGUAAACGUGUGUGAACAAACUUUGGAAGCGGAACAGAAGGAGGGAAAGUACGCGUGGCAGAGUGCCGAGAGGAUAACUCACAAGGCAAACGCAGGAUGCGACCUUUCGACUUGGGGUUUUAUAUGUUGGAAUGCCUCUGGGUUGUGGUUGUUGGUCGCGGUGUUGUCUUUUUUGUUUUUUGUUUUGUUUCGUUUUUCUUCUUUUUUAAAUACAGAGUCUCGCCCUCUCGCCCAGGCUGGAGUUCAAUGGCCGGAUCUCGGCUCACGGCAACCUCCACCCCUCGGGUUUGAGUAAUUCUCCUGCCCCAGCCUCCCAAGUAGCUGGGAUUACAGGCGUCUGCCACCACGCCCGGCUAAUUUUUUGUAAUUUUUGUAUGUGACCUCCGCAAGGGUGCCUGUCGCUCAGGUCUCUGUGGCUUCCUAAGUCGUGGUGACCUGAUGACGUUCACUGUUUUGUUCCCCGAGCUCGGCGGGGAAACAGAAACUCCCAGGGAUCCGUGGAAAAGCAGCAGCGUGUCGCUGCC